AACGAACGCUUUCCGCCUUCCUCACACCUUCACUUCGAACUAUACCUUCGGGUCUAGUUUCUCACUUUUUCGUAACUCUUGGGAACCUUCCCUUAGGUUCCUCAUAACUCCCCGAAAGGGUUGCUAAUACCUUAUAAUGUCUUCGGACCAAAGAUUUAUCUCCUUUUUAUUGUCCCUCUGUGGAUUAGCUAGUUGGUAGGGUAAAAGCCUACCAAGGCGACGCUCCAUAGAUGUUCUGAGAGUAUGCUCAGCCACACUGGGAAUGAGACACGGCCCAGACUCAUACGGGAGGCAGCAGUGGGGAAUAUUGGACAAUGGGAGAAAGAAUGAUCCAGCCAUGCCGAGUGAGGGAGGAAGGCAGUAGGGUUGUAAAGCUCUUUUAAACGGGAUGAUAAUGAAAGUACCGGGAGAAUAAGCGAAGGAGAAAUAAAGG
rnacentral:rRNA from 1 species